GAUGAACGCUGGCGGCGUGCCUAAUACAUGCAAGUCGAGCGAACGGACGAGAAGCUUGCUUCUCUGAUGUUAGCGGCUGACGGGUGAGUAACACGUGGAUAACCUACCUAUAAGACUGGGAUAACUUCGGGAAACCGGAUCUAAUACCGGAGGAUAUUUUGAACCGCAUGGUUCAAAAGUGAAAGACGGUCUUGCUGUCACUUAUAGAUGGAUCCGGGCUGCAUUAGCUAGUUGGUAAGGUAACGCCUUACCAAGGCAACGAUGCAUAGCCGACCUGAGAGGGUGAUCGGCCACACUGGAACUGAGACACGGUCCAGACUCCUACGGGAGGCAGCAGUAGGGAAUCUUCCGCAAUGGGCGAAAGCCUGACGAGGCAACGCCGCGUGAGUGAUGAAGGUCUUCGGAUCGUAAAACGCUGUUAUUAGGGAAGAACAUAUGUGUAAGUAACUGUGCACAUCUUGACGGUACCUAAGCAGAAAGCCACGGCUAACUACGU
rnacentral:rRNA from 1 species